CCGACCUUAGCUCAGUUGGAAGAGCGCGAGACUGUAAGGGAUACCGUCAUCUUGAGGUCGCCUGUUCGAACCAGGCAGGUCGGA